AGAGGUCAGGCUGAAGACCUUACCCGAUUAGCUGAGAGGUGGUGCAUGGCCGUCGUCAGUUUCGUACUGUGAAGCAUCCUGUUAAGUCAGGCAACGAGCGAGACCCACGUCCACAGUUGCCAGCAUACCCUCCGGGGUGAUGGGUACACUGUGGAGACCGCCGCUGCUAAAGCGGAGGAAGGAGUGGGCAACGGUAGGUCAGUAUGCCCCGAAUCUCCCGGGCUACACGCGGGCUACAAUGGUUGGUACAAUGGGCAUCUACCCCGAAAGGGGAAGGAAAUCUCUUAAAGCCAAUCGUAGUUCGGAUUGAGGGCUGCAACUCGCCCUCAUGAAGCUGGAAUCCGUAGUAAUCGCGUUUCAACAGAACGCGGUGAAUACGUCCCUGCUCCUU
rnacentral:rRNA from 1 species